UACAGAGGGUGCAAGCGUUGCUCGGAAUCAUUGGGCGUAAAGGGUAGGUAGGUGGUCUCAUUUGUCUGGGGUGAAAGCCUCGAGCUUAACUCGAGAAGUGCCCCGGAAACGGUGAGACUGGAGUCUUGGAGAGGGUCGUGGAAUUCCUGGUGUAGCGGUGAAAUGCGUAGAUAUCAGGAGGAACACCUGUGGCGAAAGCGGCGCACUGGACCACAACUGACGCUGAGGCGCGAAAGCUAGGGGAGCAAACAGGAUUAGAUAC
rnacentral:rRNA from 1 species